rnacentral:rRNA from 1 species
UACAGAGGUCCCAAGCGUUGUUCGGAUUCACUGGGCGUAAAGGGUGCGUAGGCGGUCGGGUAAGUCUGAUGUGAAAUCUCCAAGCUCAACUUGGAAAUGGCAUCGGAUACUAUUCGGCUGGAGGAAUGGAGGGGAGACUGGAAUACUUGGUGUAGCAGUGAAAUGCGUAGAUAUCAAGUGGAACACCAGUGGCGAAGGCGAGUCUCUGGACAUUUCCUGACGCUGAGGCACGAAAGCCAGGGGAGCAAACAGG